AUUUCCUCCAGGCAACAAUGUGCUCCUGAUAUGAAAGCUGACAUUAGAACUGGUAACAAAGGAGCAGGAGCUGGUGUAAUACACAGGGGUAUCGCCCCUGGAACUCAAGAGUCCAACAGAUGCAAUUACAAAGCAGAAGGUGCAGGAGUCUGCCUACUCUGUGGAAAUGAGGUGACGCCUUCAUCACAGCCAGGAGCCAGGCUGAAAAUUAUUGUCUCUAGUUCAAGAGAGGCUGUCGACACCUCGUCAUUCUGGAACAGUUCAGUGUACAUCUAAGCCUAUAAAAAGGGAAUUCAUGACCAGCUGUUAGUCCCUCUGAGAAGAUGAUGUCAACCUCUGCUAUGAUGCUCAUUGUUCUAUAGUGUGAGACAGCUAUCCCAUAUGCAGGUGAUUUCUCAGGGCAGUUUCUUCACUCUCCAGCUAGGAACAGAUGAUCUCAGGCUUCAGGUUCUAAGCCUCCACCAACCACAGAAAGAUCUCUUGAAUAUCUUCUCCAACCAGAUGGAUAUUCACGGAUGCAUUCAUGCAGCUGAAAGAAGGCCCUCCUUCUGGAUGGAUGAACACAAUAUUCAUCCAAAAUUCAGAGCUCACACCCCACCUCCUCCUACUUCUGUUUCUCAAGAACAUCAGUGUUUCCAAAAUUCUGGUCACUUUUUUCUUUAGGAUUGUUUUCAGGACAUUGCAUUCCCCUGAGCCAACAGACUCCCUCAUUCCUUUCAGUUUUGCUCUAUUUGUUCA
ensembl:lncRNA